rnacentral:ncRNA from 2 species
GGUUGUAGAAAAUAUUCAAAUAAGAACUUUGAAAGAUGAAAAGGGGAAAGGAACCAUGUGAAAGGAACUUGCCAAUGGGUUAGUCGAUUCUAAGGGUCGGGGUAACCUUGACAAAUAGCACAUCUCAUGCCUACUUUAAAAGGGAUUAAAGUUCAAAUUCAUAAGUUAGGAUGUGGGGAUGAAGGCAACGUUAGGAGGUUCGGAGAUGUGUGUGGGAGUCUCGGGAAGAGUUAUCUUUUUUAUUUAAUAGCCUUCCAACCCUAGAAUCGGCUCAGUCGUCCAAUGGCUUGAAGAGUAUCGCACGACGCACGGUGUUCGGUGCACUCCUGACGACACUUAAAAAUAUAGAGGACCGAAUAUCUUUCAAGCCUUGUUGAACCACAUCAGGUCUCUAAGGUGAACAACUCUUAUC